GGGGCGGGGCCACAGUGGUUUAGUGGUUAGCGCUGUCAUCUCGCACCUCUGGGGUUGGGCGUUCGAAUCCCGCCUCUGUUCUG